rnacentral:misc_RNA from 1 species
AUCAACCAUCAAGCCUGGCUUGUCGUUGGGCCCUAUUGUCGUCGAGAGCCGACAGGUCCGAAAGAUAAUGACGGUGUCGUGUUUGACCCUAGAUGCAACGAGCUUCAUAGCACGCAUUGAAGUGGUCGGCCGGCCCGGUCUUAAACCCCCUAUUUUCUAAGGUUGACCUCGGAUCAGGUAGGAAUACCCGCUGAACUUAA